rnacentral:tRNA from 1 species
GAGAGCUUAAUUAAAUUAAUAAUAUAGAAUUGUCAUUUCUAAUUUACCCUCACUGGGUAGCUCUUA